rnacentral:rRNA from 1 species
GACGGAAGGGGCAAGCGUUGAGCGUAUGGACUGGGCCUAAAACGUGGGUAGGCUGUUUGUCCGAUGCUUAUUUAACACCCUCUUUUAGAGGAUAAAAUAGUUUAAGGAUAAUCUGGGGAAAUUUAAGGGAUCAGAGAACUGUUCAAGGACCGGUAGAAUGGGAACAUAUGAAAAGGAAUACCCAUAGCAAAGGCGCUGUUCUAGAUUUUUUCCGACGCUAAGCCACGGAAGCGCGGGUAUCAAAAGGG